rnacentral:rRNA from 1 species
UACCAGCUCUCCGAGUUGUAGGGAUGAUUAAUUGGGCUUAAAGCGUCCGUAGCUGGCUUAGCAAGUCUCCUGUUAAAUUCAGCGAUCUAAUCGUUGAGCCGCGGGAGAUACUACUAGGCUAGGAGGCGGGAGAGGUCGACGGUACUUUCGGGGUAGGGUGAAAUCCUAUAAUCCCGGGAGGACCACCAGUGGCGAAGGCUGUUGACUAGAACGCGCUCGACGGUGAGGGACGAAAGCUGGGGGAGCGAACCGGAUUAGAUACCCGGGUAGUCCCAGCUGUAAACGAUGCGAGCUAGGUGUUGGGGUGGCUACGUGCCACUUCAGUGACCGCAGGGAAGCCAUUAAGCUCGCCGCCUGGGGAGUACGGCCGCAAGGCUGAAACUUAAAGGAAUUGGCGGGGAGCGACCACAAGGCGUGAAGCUUGCGGUUC